GGUUCAAGUCCCUCUAUCCCC
rnacentral:tRNA from 20 species